GUUGAUACAGCUCAUAGUCAUUCCAAACUUUGGUUCUGAGAUCAAGCAUAAUCAAGAGUCAUAAGAGUGUUAAUCCAAAUCAGAGAAACCGUUAGACUGAGUUCAUGGUUCCCAACAAAAAUUUUGACUCAAUAAAACAAAAACUUUUUGGACUGACUCGAUAAAACUCCAAAAGAAUAAACAAUGUGAGUAACUACCUCCCCCAGA
rnacentral:lncRNA from 1 species